UGUUGAGCAGUGCGUCUGGCUCCGGCUGGGCCUCGCAGCUGCCAGACAUGCUGCUCUGAGCGACAUGUUUUGCAGCCCCAGUGUGGCCCUCGGGCCAAAAAGUUUGCCCACCCUUGCACUAGAGCAUGAGCCGGCCCAGACUGUGGCCCUUCAGCAGAAAGCAGUUCAAAUCUUUGCAACCAAGAAGGCUCGGAAAGCGGCACUUUGACUAUUCAAACAGAUGAAAAUGCCAGUGUUUACUGCGCAGACAAGCAACGUUACAUUUGUUCAGGCGUUUGAAAGCGUUCCUGUGACGUCCAUGCCAAAGGCAGGCGAGACUUCCUGCAACGCCCUUGCCGGAGGAAGGUGGAACUUUCUGUGAUGUCCCGACUAGAGGAAGGCGGGAUUUCCUGCCAUGACUUUGCCAGAGGAAGGUGGGACUUUCUGUGAUGUCCCGACUAGAGGAAGGCGGGAUUUCCUGCCAUGCCUUUGCCAGAGGAAGGUGGGACUUCCUGCGAUGCGGCUGCAAUAUCCGUGUUAGAAGAAGGUGAGACUUCCCGCCAUGCCCUCGCCAGAGGAAGGCAGGA